CAAUAGCGUAUAUUUAAGUUGUUGCAGUUAAAAAGCUCGUAGUUGGAUUUCUGCUGAUCGCUGUCGGUCUGCCGCCAGGUGUGUACUGGCAGUGUUUGGCAUCUAUUCGAGAUUGGGUGCCCACUUGAUUGUGUGCACUCGAUGUCGGAGCUAAUACUUUGAGAAAAUUAGAGUGUUCCACGCAGGCGCGUGCCUUGAAUACUGCAGCAUGGGAUAUUGGAAGGCCGAUUGAGCUUUCUUGUUGGUUCUCGGUUUGAUCGGAAUGAUUAAUAGGGAUAGUUGGGGGCAUUCGUAUUCAACUGUCAGAGGUGAAAUUCUUGGAUUUGUUGAAGACGGACUACUGCGAAAGCAUCUGCCAUGGAUGUUCUCAUUGA
rnacentral:rRNA from 1 species